CGACCGGCGCACGGGUGAGUAACACGUAUCCAACCUGCCGAUGACUCGGGGAUAGCCUUUCGAAAGAAAGAUUAAUACCCGAUGGCAUAGCUCUUCCGCAUGGUAGAACUAUUAAAGAAUUUCGGUCAUCGAUGGAGAUGCGUUCCAUUAGCUUGUUGGCGGGGUAACGGCCCACCAAGGCAUCGAUGGAUAGGGGUUCUGAGAGGAAGGUCCCCCACAUUGGAACUGAGACACGGUCCAAACUCCUACGGGAGGCAGCAG
rnacentral:rRNA from 1 species